CUCGGAUCAGGUAGGGAUACCGCUGACUAAGC
rnacentral:rRNA from 1 species